ACUUUUAAAGGAUAAUAGUCAUACAUUGGUCUUAGGAACCAAAAAUUUUGGUCCAAUUCCAAAUAAAUGUA
rnacentral:tRNA from 1 species